GAGUCAUUGGGACUCACUUAAACCUAAAGGCGCAAUGAAAGUAAAGGUCCGCCUCGCGCGGACCGAGGGAGGAUGGGCCCGUCCACGGGCGGGCCCCGCACUCCCGGGGCGUCUCGUUCUCAUCGCGAGAAGAGGCGCACCCAGAGCGUACACGCUGGGACCCGAAAGAUGGUGAACUAUGCCUGGUCAGGACGAAGUCAGGGGAAACCCUGAUGGAGGUCCGUAGCGAUUCUGACGUGCAAAUCGAUCGUCGGAACUGGGUAUAGG
rnacentral:rRNA from 1 species